AGCAUUGUGCAGUGGCAAUAUCGUAGCCAAUGAGGUUUACCUGAGGCGUGAUUAUUGCUAAUUGGAAAAAAAAAAAAGGUGGAUAGCAGGCCCUUUCGCUCUGGGCCUGUAAGGGGAGGGCACCCCAUGCUCUCUGAAUGCCUUCAGUCAUUCUUCCUGGUCUUGGACUAGAGGCCUGACUUCUGUGCAGGGGGCUGGCUAAUUUCCCCAGGGUUGUAGAAAAU
rnacentral:snRNA from 10 species